GUGUAGAUUUGCUGUAUAUGUCAAAGUUGUGCAUGACUGGAAAAAUAUUGAUUAUGGCACAAAAAAGCAGUUUUCUUAAUAGAUUGUUUCCACAUAAUCUUGAAAUUACCAACAUUUGAACCUGCAGUAUUGGAUGUUGGCCACUAGGGCAAGACAUUACAUUAGCACGAUUAAAAAUUGCAUUGCUGCAAUUGGCGACGCUUUUGCGACGAGACUUCAGAACAUGUU